rnacentral:rRNA from 1 species
UGCCAGCCGCCGCGGUAAUACGAAGGUCCCAAGCGUUGUUCGGAAUCACUGGGCGUAAAGCGUGUGUAGGCGGCAAGGUAAGUCAGAUGUGAAAUCUCCGGGCUCAACCUGGAAACUGCAUCCGAUACUGCCUUGCUAGAGUAGUGGAGGGGAGUCUGGAAUUCACGGUGUAGCAGUGAAAUGCGUAGAUAUCGUGAGGAACACUCGUGGCGAAGGCGAGACUCUGGACACUUACUGACGCUCAGACACGAAGGCCAGGGUAGCGAAAGGGAUUAGAUA